rnacentral:lncRNA from 1 species
CAGUGAUCUUUGCACCUUUAAAGGGCUGUGAAGGGCCAAAUUCAGCACGGGAAGCCAUGAGACCAGGCAUUUCAACUUCGGCAAGCUCGAUUUCGAGCCUGCCGAAGUCAGCCUGGGACAUGUCCUUCACCUUGUACUCGCGGCCAGAGGUGGUCUUCUCAACGAGUAGAGCCAUGGGUAAGGCGAGUAUAAGAGAAAAGAAAGGGUUUAAGAUGAGAUCUGAGAGGCUUUUCUCUUCUUCCUUUGGGGUUUUUCAGGGAAGAAGAAGA